UUCAAAAGCGGAGGAAAAGAAACCAACAGGGAUUCCCCUAGUAACGGCGAGUGAAGCGGGAACAGCUCAAAUUUGAAAUCUGGCCCUUGGGUCCGAGUUGUAAUUUGCAGAGGAUGCUUUUGGUGCGGUGCCUUCCGAGUUCCCUGGAACGGGACGCCUUAGAGGGUGAGAGCCCCGUACGGUUGGCCACCAAGCCUGUGUAAAGCUCCUUCGACGAGUCGAGUAGUUUGGGAAUGCUGCUCAAAAUGGGAGGUAUAUUUCUUCUAAAGCUAAAUACUGGCCAGAGACCGAUAGCGCACAAGUAGAGUGAUCGAAAGAUGAAAAGCACUUUGAAAAGAGGGUUAAAUAGCACGUGAAAUUGUUGAAAGGGAAGGAUUUAUGACCAGACUUUUUCUGGGGGGAUCAUCCGGUGUUCUCACCGGUGCACUUCCCCCAGUUGAGGCCAGCAUCGGUUUCUGCCGGGGGAUAAAAGCUUUGGGAAUGUGGCUCCUUCGGGAGUGUUAUAGCCCGUUGCAUAAUACCCUGGCGGGGACCGAGGUUCGCGCAUUGCAAGGAUGCUGGCGUAAUGGUUAUUAAUCACCCGUCUUGAAACACGGACCAAGGAGUCGAACAUUUGUGCGAGUGUUUGGGUGUUAAACCCUCACGCGUAAUGAAAGUGAACGGAGGUGAGAGCCUUUAGGGGUGCAUCAUCGACCGAUCCUGAUGUCUUCGGAUGGAUUUGAGUAAGAGCAUAACUGUUCGGACCCGAAAGAUGGUGAACUAUGCGUGGAUAGGGUGAAGCCAGAGGAAACUCUGGUGGAGGCUCGCAGCGGUUCUGACGUGCAAAUCGAUCGUCAAAUCUGCGCAUGGGGGGCGAAAGACUAAUCGAACC
rnacentral:rRNA from 1 species